ACCGACGAAAUCCUCUCGCAUCUAGGGUUGCAGAAGCUCUAACUGGUUUUUCUAUCCCUUUUCUCUCUCUCCAAUGCCCUACAUUCUGAAAAUCCCUGGAAUUUCCAUCCUAGGUUUCUUCCACGCACUCCUUGAUCUGCAUUACCGGGAUUUUCUGGAGAGAAAACGGGGGGUUUCUAGGGUUUAUAGCUGAGAAAGAAUAGAAGCCUCUGAAAUCCCGAUUUUUUCCUGAAAUUUCUAAAAAUCUGUUCCAUUUUCCUGUUUGUAAAGGUGGAUCUGACCAUCGGAGAUCUUCAAGGUGCUUUGUGUUUGUCACUUCAGAGUUUUCUGGAGAGGAAUCGAGAGGUUUUCGGGUUGCUGGCUUUAGUGAUACUGAAUCCUUGGAAUUUGAGUUUUCCCAUCUCCUUUUUGGAGACAUCUACCAUUUUUUUCUCGGAUCGGAGCUCAAUCAACGCGGAAGCUCGGAUCUCUGGAGUUUCCAAACCUUUGGCUUGCUCAUUUUCACUGAAUUUUUCUCGUGUCCUAAAAUUAUUUGGCAAAGAAAAUGGACGAGGUGAAUUUCUCAUCAACAUUACAGUGGCCCUACCUAGCUCCCAUGGCAAGAAGUUCAUGGGAAAGAUUUCCAAAGAAAAGUCUGGUGGGUUUGUCACUUGUGAGAGUCAUUCCGAAGAAAAGCGUGUUGACAAUAUAGUGGGUAUUGCAUAUGCAAUGGAUAUGCUGGAUUAUGUUGAAAAGAUUCAAUGUCCGUGUGGAAUCUGCUGAGAGAGUUCCGCAUAGGAAGGUUCAUAUGGCUAUUGUUCUAAAUGAAUAUGGUGGAACUGUGGGAGUAUGUUUACAUCCUUCACAUUUUCUUUAACAAUGCUCAUGAAGUUCAAAAGCUGUUCAUGUUACUAUUUAUGUGAUUUUGGGUGUUAACUAUUUUAAUACUGUUGCCUCAUUGAUAUUUUUUAACAUCGAAAAGUAGUGAACAAUUUUAAUACUGCUUUUUGUAAUAAAACUGGUACCUACUCUGGUUAACUGCCAGAACUUUUACAUGGCGAGAAACAGCCACAACAUCUUGCUUUCCUAGCUUGGUUUUUAGGAGGAC